UACGAAGGGGGCUAGCGUUGUUCGGAAUCACUGGGCGUAAAGGGCGCGUAGGCGGCUGUUCAAGUCGGGGGUGAAAGCCUGUGGCUCAACCACAGAAUUGCCUUCGAUACUGGACGGCUGGAGACCGGAAGAGGUCAGUGGAACUGCGAGUGUAGAGGUGAAAUUCGUAGAUAUUCGCAAGAACACCAGUGGCGAAGGCGGCUGACUGGUCCGGUUCUGACGCUGAGGCGCGAAAGCGUGGGGAGCAAACA
rnacentral:rRNA from 1 species